UACGUAGGGGGGCAAGCGUUGUCCGGAAUCAUUGGGCGUAAAGCGCGUGUAGGCGGUUCGGUAAGUCUGCUGUGAAAGUCCAGGGCUCAACCCUGGGAUGCCGGUGGAUACUGUCGGACUAGAGUACGGAAGAGGCGAGUGGAAUUCCCGGUGUAGCGGUGAAAUGCGCAGAUAUCGGGAGGAACACCAAUUGCGAAGGCAGCUCGCUGGGACGUUACUGACGCUGAGACGCGAAAGCGUGGGGAGCAAACAGG
rnacentral:rRNA from 1 species